UCUUCAAGGCCAAGUUCUUAGCACUUGUGCAAGGACAAAACUUUAAGAAGCAAGAAGAAAGCAGUUGCUAUGAAGCUGAAGAAUUCAGCAGAGACUUUAAUGGUCAUGAUGUGUUGGAAGAGCCCAAGGUUCCAUAUUAACAAAUGGAGCAAGUCCUCUAGUUUUUCACUUAAGCUCUCUGAAUACCUCUGGAGACAUCCUAUGCAGCUGUGAUGACAUUUUAAAUUAAUGCAUCAUCAUCAUUUGCAAAUUUACUGGGAAUUAUGGAAAUAUCAUCAGCACAAAUCUAUGGAAAACAGUUCUUCCAGAAAUGACCAGGAGUAUGAAGAGCAAAGUGUAAACAUUUCAGCUACAUUACAACAGAGAGAGAGAGCAAGAGGGUGA
rnacentral:lncRNA from 1 species